GCCUACGGGGGGCAGCAGUGAGGAAUAUUGGUCAAUGGGCGCGAGCCUGAACCAGCCAAGUAGCGUGAAGGAUGACGGCCCUAUGGGUUGUAAACUUCUUUUAUAUGGGAAUAAAGUUUGGUAUGCAUACCAUUUUGUAUGUACCAUAUGAAUAAGGAUCGGCUAACUCCGUGCCAGCAGCCGCGGUAAUACGGAGGAUCCGAGCGUUAUCCGGAUUUAUUGGGUUUAAAGGGAGCGUAGGUGGAUUGUUAAGUCAGUUGUGAAAGUUUGCGGCUCAACCGUAAAAUUGCAGUUGAAACUGGCAG
rnacentral:rRNA from 1 species